AUGGCCUGGGCCCCUCUGCUCCUCACGCUGCUCACGUACUGCUCUGGGGCCAGUUCGCAGCCCACACUGACCCAGCCGCCUUCGGACUCAGUGUCCUUGGGAAACACCGUGAAACUCUCCUGCACUCUGAGCAGUCAGCACAGCAGCUACAACGUUGGAUGGUACCAACAAAGAGAUGGCCAGGCCCCUCAGUUCCUUUGGUACGGCUCUAGUACCAAAGGAGACGGGGUCCCAGAUCGAUUCACUGUUUCCAGUUCCGGAGCCAUUCGCUAUUUAACCAUCACCAACGUCCAGCCAGAGGAUGAGGCCACUUAUUACUGUGGUGCAGAUUAUGGCAGUGGUAGCAGCUAUGGGUAACUCACCAUGACACAAUCAGAUGGGGAACUGAGACAAAAACCUCCCCUCACCCAGGCUGUGCACAACUGGGUCCCACGCUCUGUGCAGAGCUUUGCAUUUUACUUUCAACAAAUCAGCUGA